UCAUCAUGAUGCACUGUUAUGGCUCCCUCUAUAGGCAACCCAGGUCUUCUAAUUUAAAAGUUGCUGCAUUUGUGAUGAUUUUCAUCUUGACUGGGGAUGCACUGGCUUCCACUGUGAAUAAACUGCCAUUUCUUACAGCUCCUCAUUCUGAACACCAGCAUCAUGCAUCCUUUGCUCUGUUCUAGGCACAACAAUCAAAAGUGCUAAUUCCCAAACUGGACCUGACUUCAGCCAGAGUAAGAACAAUACUGAUCCUCACCUACCCACUCC